rnacentral:rRNA from 1 species
CCUACGGGAUGCAGCAGUAGGGAAUUUUCGGCAAUGGGGGGAACCCUGACCGAGCAACGCCGCGUGAAGGAAGAAGGAAUUCGUUCUGUAAACUUCUGUUAUAAAGGAAGAAAGACGGAUGGAGGAAAUGACAUCCGAGUGACGGUACUUUAUGAGAAAGCGACGGCUAACUACAUGCCAGCAGCCGCGGUAAUACGUAGGUGGCAAGCGUUAUCCGGAGUUAUUGGGCGUAAAGAGGGAACAGGCGGCAGCAAAGGUCUGUGGUGAAAGAGUGAAGCUUAACUUCAGUAAGCCAUAGAAACCGGGCUGCUAGAGUGCAGGAGAGGUGCGUGGAAGUCCAGGGGUAGCGGGGAAAUGCGUAGAUAUCUGGAGGAACACCAGUGGCGAAGGCGACGAUCUGGCCUGCAACUGACGCUCAGUCCCGAAAGCGUGGGGAGCAAAUAGGAUUAGAUACCCGGGUAGUC